CCUCCCCAUGCUAGAGGCGAUGCUGAGCCAGCCCCAGACCCCUGUAGCCAGAUCCGUGGGGGUGUCCAAUCCUCCCUCAAACGUGUGUGUGUGUGUGUGUGUGUGUGUCCCCUACAGCGACGGAUCUGACGCGGGGGGGGGGACAACAGGGACACCCCCCCCACUAAAGGGCCUGCAAUGGUAGGGCCUGAUGUGGGGGAGGGAGUUCGGAGAGAGUUAGGGUUCGGGAGGGAUGGGGAUCUUGUUGAGGGUAGUAUAAAGGUCCCGGAAGGUAAAGGGAGGCGGGGGACAGGCCUGGAAAGGUCCAGGAGGACAAGGGGGGCAGAGAGGCAGGGCUGGAAAGGUCCUAGAAGGUAAGUGCAAUGGGGACAGGGGGCAUGGAAAGGUCCUGGAAGGCAAGGGCGGAAGGGCAGGCAUGGAAAGGUCCCGGAAGGAAAGGAUGAUGAGGGCCGAGGGGGCAUGGAAAGGUCCCAGAAGGUAAGUGCAGUGGGGACAGAGGCGCAUGGAAAGGUCCUGGAAGGUAAGUGCAAUGGGGAUGGGUACGCAUGGAAAGGCCCCAGAAGGUAAGGGCGGAAGGGCAGGCAUGGAAAGGUCCCGGAAGGAAAGGAUGAUGAGGGCCGAGGGGGCAUGGAAAGGUCCCGGAAGGGCAGGCAUGGAAAGGUCCCGGAAGGGAAGCAGCGAGCCAGGGACGGGGGGAGGGCUGUGUGUGGAAGCAGCGCAUCCCAGUGU